UACGAAGGGGGGCUAGCGUUGUUCGGAAUUACUGGGCGUAAAGCGCGCGUAGGCGGCUUUGUAAGUUAGAGGUGAAAGCCCGGGGCUCAACCCCGGAACUGCCUUUAAGACUGCAUCGCUUGAAUCCGGGAGAGGUGAGUGGAAUUCCGAGUGUAGAGGUGAAAUUCGUAGAUAUUCGGAAGAACACCAGUGGCGAAGGCGGCUCACUGGACCGGCAUUGACGCUGAUGUGCGAAAGCGUGGGGAGCAAACAGG
rnacentral:rRNA from 1 species